rnacentral:tRNA from 1 species
GGACUUGUAGCUCAGUUGGUCAGAGCAACAGACUCAUAAUCUGGAGGUCCCAGGUUCAAGCCCUGGCUGGUCCA